AGCGUCGUCUAGAGUUUGAUCAUGGCUCAGAUUGAACGCUGGCGGCAUGCCUUACACAUGCAAGUCGAACGGCAGCACGGGGGGCAACCCUGGUGGCGAGUGGCGAACGGGUGAGUAAUACAUCGGAACGUGUCCUGUAUGGGGGAUAGCCCGGCGAAAGCCGGAUUAAUACCGCAUACGCUCUGCGGAGGAAAGCGGGGGAUCCUUCGGGACCUCGCGCUACAGGGGCGGCCGAUGGCAGAUUAGCUAGUUGGUGGGGUAAAGGCCUACCAAGGCGACGAUCUGUAGCUGGUCUGAGAGGACGACCAGCCACACUGGGACUGAGACACGGCCCAGACUCCUACGGGAGGCAGCAGUGGGGAAUUUUGGACAAUGGGCGCAAGCCUGAUCCAGCAAUGCCGCGUGUGUGAAGAAGGCCUUCGGGUUGUAAAGCACUUUUGUCCGGAAAGAAAACUUCGGGUUAAUACCCUGGGAGGAUGACGGUACCGAAGAUAAGCACCGGCUGACUACGUGCCAGCAGCC
rnacentral:rRNA from 1 species